rnacentral:rRNA from 1 species
GAUGAACGCUAGCUACAGGCUUAACACAUGCAAGUCGAGGGGAAACGCCAUCGAAAGCUUGCUUUUGAUGGGCGUCGACCGGCGCACGGGUGAGUAACGCGUAUCCAACCUGCCUAUCACUUGUGCAUAACCCUGCGAAAGUAAGACUAAUACCCAAUGACAUCCCACGAAGACAUCGGAAUGGGAUUAAAGAUUUAUCGGUGAUGGCUGGGGAUGCGUCUGAUUAGCUUGUUGGCGGGUUAACGGCCCACCAAGGCAACGAUCAGUAGGGGGUCUGAGAGGAAGGUGCCCCGCAUUGGAACUGGGACACCGUCCAACCUCUUACGGGACGCAGCUGUGAGGACUGUUCGUCAAGGGGCGUGAGCCUGAACCAGCCAAGUCACGAUGCGGAUGCCGGCCGUGUGGGUUGUAAACUGCUUUUAUGAGGACAUAAAUUGGGUCUCGUGAAACUUUUUGCAUGUUCCUUAUGAAUGAGGUCCGGCUAAUUCCGUGC